UCCCUGGUAGUUCAGAUGGUAAAGCGUCUGCCUAUAAUGCGGGAGACCCCGGGUUCGAUCCCUGGGUUGGGAA
rnacentral:tRNA from 1 species